rnacentral:rRNA from 1 species
UACGAAGGGGGCUAGCGUUGCUCGGAAUCACUGGGCGUAAAGGGUGCGUAGGCGGGUCUUUUAAGUCAGGGGUGAAAUCCUGGAGCUCAACUCCAGAACUGCCUUUGAUACUGAGGAUCUUGAGUUCGGGAGAGGUGAGUGGAACUGCGAGUGUAGAGGUGAAAUUCGUAGAUAUUCGCAAGAACACCAGUGGCGAAGGCGGCUCAUUGGCCCGAUACUGACGCUGAGACGCGAAAGCGUGGGGAGCGAACAGG